CUUGCUUCUCUUGAGAGCGGCGGACGGGUGAGUAAUGCCUAGGAAUCUGCCUGGUAGUGGGGGAUAACGUCCGGAAACGGACGCUAAUACCGCAUACGUCCUACGGGAGAAAGCAGGGGACCUUCGGGCCUUGCGCUAUCAGAUGAGCCUAGGUCGGAUUAGCUAGUUGGUGGGGUAAUGGCUCACCAAGGCGACGAUCCGUAACUGGUCUGAGAGGAUGAUCAGUCACACUGGAACUGAGACACGGUCCAGACUCCUACGGGAGGCAGCAGUGGGGAAUAUUGGACAAUGGGCGAAAGCCUGAUCCAGCCAUGCCGCGUGUGUGAAGAAGGUCUUCGGAUUGUAAAGCACUUUAAGUUGGGAGGAAGGGCAGUAAAUUAAUACUUUGCUGUUUUGACGUUACCGACAGAAUAAGCACCGGCUAACUCUGUGUCAGCAGCCGCGGUAAUACAGAGGGUGCAAGCGUUAAUCGGAAUUACUGGGCGUAAAGCGCGCGUAGGUGGUUCGUUAAGUUGGAUGUGAAAUCCCCGGGCUCAACCUGGGAACUGCAUUCAAAACUGACGAGCUAGAGUAUGGUAGAGGGUGGUGGAAUUUCCUGUGUAGCGGUGAAAUGCGUAGAUAUAGGAAGGAACA
rnacentral:rRNA from 1 species